GUGCCAGCCGCCGCGGUAAUACCGGCAGCCCGAGUGAUGGCCGAUCUUAUUGGGCCUAAAGCGUCCGUAGCUGGCCGCGCAAGUCCAUCGGGAAAUCCACCCGCCCAACGGGUGGCCGUCCGGUGGAAACUGCACGGCUUGGAACCGGAAGGCUCAGAGAGUACGUCCGGGGUAGGAGUGAAAUCCCGUAAUCCCGGACGGACUACCGAUGGCGAAAGCACUCUGAGAAGACGGCUUCGACAGUGAGGGACGAAAGCGCGGGUCUCAAACCGGAUUAGAAACCCUUGUAGUCC
rnacentral:rRNA from 1 species